UACAAUUAACAGGAGCUCUCUUCAGUUCAUCUCAAGACAGGUAGAAGGUCGAAACAUUGCUGCUCAUUCGUUAGUUCAAUAGCUCAUUAUCCUCCAAAUCUCUAUAAUUUUGAUAUCAAAGUUGUGUGAUGUGCUCCUGAUCUAACGAUGUAGGAGCAAUCUUUGAUCAUCGAUGUCGUGUAUUGGACUGAAGGGAGCUCCUUCACUUUUACUU
rfam:Cucumis sativus cultivar 9930 chromosome 5, whole genome shotgun sequence.